UAAUGCCUGAGUCAAAAGGGCUAACCCCACAUGAACUUGCUCAUAAGUGGUAAAAGACCUUAGGACCCGCGCCCAUAUGAGCAAAAAGCGGGAAGACUAUCCCACGAUAUGCGAAUGUUGGUAGAAUCAAAGUUGGGGUGCCCCUGAAAUUAUAUAAAGUACUA
rnacentral:ncRNA from 2 species